CAUGCAAGUCGAACGGAAAGUGCUCAGCUUGCUGGGUGACUCGAGUGGCGAACGGGUGAGUAACACGUGGGUGAUCUGCCCUGCACUUUGGGAUAAGCCUGGGAAACUGGGUCUAAUACCGAAUAUGACCGCGCACUUCCUGGUGUGUGGUGGAAAGCUUUUGCGGUGUGGGAUGGGCCCGCAGCCUAUCAGCUUGUUGGUGGGGUAAUGGCCUACCAAGGCGACGACGGGUAGCCGGCCUGAGAGGGUGACCGGCCACACUGGGACUGAGAUACGGCCCAGACUCCUACGGGAGGCAGCAGUGGGGAAUAUUGCGCAAUGGGCGCAAGCCUGAUGCAGCGACGCCGCGUGAGGGAUGACGGCCUUCGGGUUGUAAACCUCUUUCAAUAGGGACGAAGCGCAAGUGACGGUACCUAUAGAAGAAGGACCGGCCAACUACGUGCCAGCAGCCGCGGUAAUACGUAGGGUCCGAGCGUUGUCCGGAAUUACUGGGCGUAAAGAGCUCGUAGGUGGUUUGUCGCGUUGUUCGUGAAAACUCACA
rnacentral:rRNA from 1 species